GUAGGGCCAGGAGUGUGACUUCAUCUUAGUUGAAGGUUUUACAAUGUUUUUGGUGUUCAACAUCAGGAAGUUCUACCUUGUGGUUUGGAAUAUAGAUCUGACUGAUACAUCUACCCUCCUCGCCACCAUCAUCACUCCAAAAUCAGACAAGCAAAGCAAGUCAAAAGACUGCAACAGUAACAGAAGCAAUCUUCACUCCAUCCCCACCCUCCACCCAACCCCUCACCAUAACUGGUUUUCUGAACUGGCCUAUAAAGAGAAGCCUAGAAAGCAGACAAGAGAAAGUCAGAUGUCUCCGCUGGUGGCAUACAUGGCAACUGAAAACUCUGUGGAGGAAUCUGAUAUACCAUGCAAUGGGAAAUUAC